rnacentral:rRNA from 1 species
CCCUUAGAUGUUCUGGGCUGCACGCGCGCUACACUGAAGCUAUCAACACGUUUUCCCUCCCUGAGAAGGGCGGGUAACCUUUUGAAUCAGCUUCGUGGUAGGGAUCGGGGCUUGCAAUUGUUCCCCGUGAACCAGGAAUUCCUAGUAGACGCGAGUCAUAAGCUCGCAUCGAUUAAGUCCCUGCCCUUUGUACACACCGCCCGUCGCUACUACCGAUUGAACGUUUUAGUGAGGCAUUUGGACCGACGCAUCUCAGUUUAACCGCUGGUUUGUGUUGGAAAGACUUCCAAACUUGAGCGUUUAGAGGACGUAAAAGUCGUAACA